rnacentral:rRNA from 1 species
GAUGAACGCUGACAGAAUGCUUAACACAUGCAAGUCGACCGGAAUUUUGGUGUUUAACUUAGGUUUGGGUGGCGGACGGGUGAGUAACGCGUAAAGAACUUGCCUCACAGCUAGGGACAGCAUCUGAAAACGAAUGCUAAUACCUAAUAUUAUGAUAAUAGCGCAUCCUAUAAUUAUGAAAGCUAUAAGCGCUGUGCGAGGGCUUUGCGUCCCAUUAGCUAGUUGGAGAGGUAGCGACUGACCAAGCAGAUGAUCGGUAGACGGCCUGUGAGGGUGAACGGCCAGCCAGAGUGUGAGACACAGCCGUCCCUGACUCGGGCGGGAGGAGGCGGUAAGGAAUAAUGGUGAACCGAGAGUAUGCUGAAGCAACUCUGUGUGGAGGAUGAAGAUGUUCGGAAUGUAAAGUAGUUUCAGUUCCGAAGAAGAAAAUGACGGUACCAAGAGAAGAAGCGACGGCUAACUACGUG